UGAGUAACGCGUGGGAACGUACCUUUUGGUUCGGAACAACUGAGGGAAACUUCAGCUAAUACCGGAUAAGCCCUUACGGGGAAAGAUUUAUCGCCGAAAGAUCGGCCCGCGUCUGAUUAGCUAGUUGGUGAGGUAAUGGCUCACCAAGGCGACGAUCAGUAGCUGGUCUGAGAGGAUGAUCAGCCACAUUGGGACUGAGACACGGCCCAAACUCCUACGGGAGGCAGCAGUGGGGAAUAUUGGACAAUGGGCGCAAGCCUGAUCCAGCCAUGCCGCGUGAGUGAUGAAGGCCCUAGGGUUGUAAAGCUCUUUUGUGCGGGAAGAUAAUGACGGUACCGCAAGAAUAAGCCCCGGCUAACUUCGUGCCAGCAGCCGCGGUAAUACGAAGGGGGCUAGCGUUGCUCGGAAUCACUGGGCGUAAAGGGUGCGUAGGCGGGUCUUUAAGUCAGGGGUGAAAUCCUGGAGCUCAACUCCAGAACUGCCUUUGAUACUGAAGAUCUUGAGUUCGGGAGAGGUGAGUGGAACUGCGAGUGUAGAGGUGAAAUUCGUAGAUAUUCGCAAGAACACCAGUGGCGAAGGCGGCUCACUGGCCCGAUACUGACGCUGAGGCACGAAAGCGUGGGGGAGCAAAC
rnacentral:rRNA from 1 species